rnacentral:rRNA from 1 species
UACAGAGGUGGCAAGCGUUGUUCGGAAUUACUGGGCGUAAAGGGCGCGUAGGCGGUUCGAUAAGUCCCGUGUGAAAUCCCUCGGCUCAACUGAGGAACUGCACGGGAAACUGACGGGCUUGAGUUCGGGAGAGGGAAGCGGAAUUCCGGGUGUAGCGGUGAAAUGCGUAGAUAUCCGGAGGAACACCGGUGGCGAAGGCGGCAUCCUGGACCGAUACUGACGCUGAGGAGCGAAAGCCAGGGGAGCAAACGGGG